AGAUGAGGCCCCUGAUUGGGGUCUCCGGCACUGGGGGCGGGGCUGUCUCGCGGCUGCGCAGAGGCCUCUAGACAGGUGAGGUUUACUAGUGCCUCUGCGUUUUCCCGGCGUCUCUAUGGUCAGCUUACCUAGCGCGCACCUUUGCCUGUUUUCCUAAGAGGACCCUUGCUUUCAGGUGUCAGGACAAGUUUAGAAACUGGGGCGGGGGGGGGGUGCUCUACAGCAUAGGUGACCUCCCACUUAAGUAGUCAAUCAUUUGGAUUAUAAAAAAAUAAAGUGCAGGCUGAGUAAAAAGCGUGAACUGAACUAACACUUCUGGAGUGGUAUUCACUCUUCAAUGUCUUUACAAAGCCCAAGCCAGUGAAAAUGGAGUUUAAUGUACAAAACUCUGAAUGACCGUAUGACUGGAAUGAAAACGGGAGUUGACCUCCCCUAUGACCCCUGGAUUGGAUGUCCUGCUGCUUUUGAGUUUCUUUGUUUCUCAUGUAAGCCCUUUUCAUUUCAUUCUCAUACCUUAGGCGGAGAUAUAAUCAUCAUUCCUGAUUGUAUAGACGAGGAGGCAGAGAGAUACAAAUUAAAUGACAGCUUGGAGUCACAGAACGCCUUCAGACCUAGAAAAGAUGUUUAGGAGGGCAUUUAUCCUGCUCUGAGUUCUUCGAAAACGCAAGGCUUUAACGCUGAGAGGCAGCAGAGUCAGCAGCAGGAGAGUGAGAGGGCAGGAAACUUCUAGAUUUGUGUCACCAGCAAAUUGUUUCUGACCCACAGCAAGAGUUUUUUGUCUUUUUGUCUUUUUAGGGCCACACGCAAAGCAUAUGGAGGUUCCCAGGGCUAAGGGUCUAAUCGGAGCUGUAGCCGCAGGCCUAGGCCAGAGCCACAGCAACAGCAGAUCCGAGCCCCCUGUGCGUGUGACCUACACCACAGUUCACGCCAAUGCCAGAUCUUUAACCCACUGAGUAAGGCCAGAGAUCGAACCCGAAACCUCAUGGUUCCUAGUCAAAUUUGUUUCUGCUGUGACAUGACUGGAAUGCCAAUAAAUAUUGUUUGAAUUAGCAGACAGUCCUGGGUUCAACUCAUUGCUCCAUAACAUUCUAGUUGUAAUGACUCUUCUCUAUCAGUUAACCCUCUCCUCUUGGAAGCAAGCCUGGUUUUUACUGCAGCUGUGGUGCUUGAGUUGGGAGGUUAGAGACACCUUUGGCUCUAAGCGCCCAAUUCUGGGGUAGUAGAAUGUCCAGUUAGGGCCACUGAACCUAGAAAAGGAGUUUGCCAGGGGACUGGGGGAAAGAUGCUAUUUCUCCUUCUGGACAUGUGAUAUGUGGAUGGUGCUGCGGCAGCCAUUUUGCCGCCCUGAGGAGGGAGCCCUUGUGUGACGAGGUAGACAAGAGAGAUGGGGAGAGAUCAAGCGUUUGAUAACUGUAUCGGGAACCAAAUCAACCUUGAAGUUUGAGCUUUCUAAAAGCCAGUACAUUCUCUUUUUACAUUAUUAUUACUAUUUAAAUUUGAGCAUAAGCAGAAAAUACUUGUAAGUUAUCUGGCAGGACUUAGUGCACUAGCAGAGUGUGUGAGUUAACCUCCCCUGAAACUCAGGGCCUCAUCUAUAGAGGAGGGAAAGUAAUACCAUCAUUUCCUCUGGUUGACGUGAGGAGCGAGUGAAUGGUACAGGGUGUGGUCAGUGCUUAGCCCAGGGCUGACCACACAGCAAACAUUCAGGGGACGUUAGUGUGCUUUGACAUUUUCCAUUGACAGCAACUUCCUUGUUUGCCAAGGAUCCUUCCCCAAACUGGCUCUGUAACUUGGGACAAAUGUACUGACAAAUUGGUAGGAUUUGUCACCAAAUCACAUGGGCACCUUCUGGAAGAUGAGCCCAGCUGGAGCAGCUGUGAAGCCAGUGGCCCAUUUGCUGAGUGGAGUCUGUCCAGGGAGGAAGGACGCAGGUGGUCAGAUAUGCAGAGCUGCUGGCAGCUCUCAAGACUGGCCUUAUGUAGGCAUCUUGGGGUCUGUGAACAUCAGGCUGAGUUUUCCCCGUUGUCACUGCACUUCUCUGGUGUCACAACUAACAGUGUUUGUUUGCUGUGUGACUUGGAACUGAUCAACUCGCGGGUCUACAGUGAUGGCUGGCCAGUUGUGCCUCCAAUAGCGGCUGCUAAAAGAAACAUGUGCUAUUUUUUCUCUCUGCUUUAAAGGAGUCAUCCAAGCUGCUGCUAGAUGGGGCUGCAUUUCUGGGAGGUCACUUGGGACCUGACUUUUGGGGAGAUUCUGGGGAGACAGGAAGAAAGGAGGCCCAUAUGCUUAGGAGCUGAGGUGUGGCCAUGAGCCCAGAGGGGAGGUGUGAGGUGGACAGCCAUGUGACCAGGGAGAGAGAGAGCUGGAGUGAAGCUGUGCGCGCGCGCACGCGCGCACACACACACACACACCACAGUCACUGUGAAGAGUGGCUGCCUUGACUCCCAAUGGUUUCUCAUUCCUUCUGUGGCAAAUUAUACUUUCCAAAAAUGGCCACACUAAGACUUGGCUCCCACAUGCUCAUCCAGCACUGUGCCUUGCCUGGGUCAGAAGUUGGCAUUAGUUCCCUCCUCCCCUCCUCGUGGGCUCAGGUGGCCCUCCACUGUUCAGAAGAAAUAGUCUGUGCAACCUCCGUGGGCUCUGGGUGCAGGUGUCCUUGGCACCAGCCACUGUGCGGUGUAAGCCCUGGCCAUGUGGACAGGCCCGUGGGAAGAGGAACAGCUGAGCCACCUAGACGCUAGCAGUCCUGGGAGCCAGCUGCCUUGGAAAUGGACUCCCCAGUCCUGGUUGGGUUGCCAGGGCUGGUAUGGCUGGUGUGGCUCCAGGCAGAAAUGAGCCCCCCUUCCAUGCCCCAGCGAUCACAGAUUCCUGAGCUGCCUCUGUUGCUGGUGGUGCUGCCUGUGUCUGGCCUAGUCAGUGCCCACUGACUUAACUCUCUGGACCCUCCCAUUUCUCAGCUUCUCAGCAGCUUCCAUGAACUGCCUUGUGAAGUGCUGGUGCCUGGUGGGCGUCUUAGCCUGGCUCCUCCAGGCUAGCAUGUUCAGAACAGGGACCUGGUGCAGAUUGUGGGUUCAGGAGGUGCAGAGCCCUGCUGGGGUGGUGGGGUUGAGACAAGAAGGCUGGUGUGACACUGUGAUUUAUAUUAAAAGUUACAGAUUUGGUACCCCUUCCUGCAGAGCUCCUAAACCCUUGCAAUUUCCUAAGUGCCGAGAGCAAUAAAGACGUCUUUUGCUGUGUUAACGAGGUGACCUGAGAGACCACCCCUAAGGGUGGGGCUGGUUGCCAGGAGAAUGACCAGUACUUCGAGGCUUAGAGGGUUGACCUUCUAGCCCCAGCCUGGACUCUGAGGAGGGGAGAGGCUUGGAGGUUGAGUUCGAUCACCAAUGCCCAAAGGUCCAACCAACCAUCUGUGCACUGAGGCUCCAUUAAGCCCCAAUAGAUGGGCACUGUGAACUUCUGGGGUGAGGAACAUGUGGAGGUGCUGGGGGCGCUGUGUUUGGAGAAGCUCUGAGCCCCUUCCCCACGCCCUGCCCUGUGUGUCUCCUCCAUCUGACGGUCCCUGAUACACAUCCUUUCAUAAUAAACCAGUGGGGUAGCAAGUGAAGUGUUCCCUGCGUUCUAUGAGCCAUUCCAGCAAGUUCAUCCACCCUGAGGAGGGGUCCUGGGGACCUCUGAUCCACAGCCAGGGGACCGCCUGGACUUGUGACUGGUGUCUGAAGUGGGGGGUGGGCUUGAGGGCUGGGCCUUCACCUGUGGGAUCCUCUGCCCACGUCCAGCAGGUGCGCCCUGAGGUCACCCUCCCAGUGCUCAGGCCACACAGGAAUGGUGGUUGGGGGUCUCUGCUGGGGGUGAAUGAGAGUGAGAAGACGAGAUGUCUCAAUACCAGACGGCCUGGGUCAUGUCCAGGGGGGUCCUCUUGGCCCCAUGAGGGGUCAGCACCUUGUUACCGGUGUGUUGCGGUGACACCCAGUAAGCCCAAGUACAUCCACUGCUAACAGACCACACGCACUGGGACGCUCUGGGGGCUUGUCGGCUCACAGAUGCCAGAGCCUUUGCCUUGGUUUCUGCUGCAGGAAAACAGGGUGAGGCCUGGGCUUGCAUUUCUAACAAAGUCCUGGGGCUCACUGGAGCCACUGGUGCUGGCCAGGACCACAUGGAGAACCACGGUCCUGACCAGAGGACAGUACCCAGACGGGGCUCCUGGGACUGUGGGUGAGAUCUGGGGAAGAGUGCCUGGAAGUGGAGGCUUCUUGGAUUCUGCUGAUGGCAAUGACCUCCCAGCCCACAUCUGGGAUUCUGACUUCUCGUAAUUCUAGCACCUUUUUUUUUUUUUUUUUUUUUUUCCUGGGUCUUUUGUCUUUUUAGUGCUACACCCACAGCAUAUGGAGGUUUCCAGGCUAGAGGUCUGAUCGGAGCUGUUGCUGCCGGCCUACACCAGAGCCACAGCAACGCCAGAUCCAAGCCGUGUCUGCAAACUACACCACAGCUCACAGCAAUGCCAGAUCCUGAACCUGCUGAUCGAGGCCAGGGAUUGAACCUGCAAUCUCAUGGUUCCUAGUCAGAUUCAUUUCCGCUGCGCCACAAGGGGAACUCCUGAUUGUAGCAUCUUAAAUUGAGUCUUGCUUUCCACUCCCCUGGCAGUUAGUCCAGACCUGACUAUGCUGCUUGAUUUCUCCACUUCUGAUGCUGCCUGGACUUGUCCUGCCCUUGGAUUCUGAGCUGCUAUUCAAGCAGCGGCCACACGAGUGUGGUCCAGACUUUGCAAAGAGCCUCUGUGCACACAUCUGCUCAGCUCGGCGCCUCUGGACCUAUGGGGAUAAAGUGCUCCGUCUUUUCCAAGAUCUAAGUGGGCAAAUGGUGCAAACUCAAGAGUAUCUCCUGUGCCUUGGCAGUGGGUGCCGAGGGCUUUGGGUUUCUUUUCACUGGGAGGAAAGGUUAGGAUCCUCUGGGAAAAGUGGAUGCCAUGUGCGCACCCAGAGCGGCAGAGUCCCACGAGGUGAAGUUAAGCAAAUGGUCCACCAGACUGGGGGCCACUGCCUUCUGGAAGAAGAGGUUGAAAGUGUCCCUGAGGAAGAAGGCCUGACAGUGAUGGCAGCAAGCACGCUGGUCACAGCUCAUCCUCACCCCGCUCCACCCCCGCCAGCACAGCUGCAGAGUCUGUCUUGUUCUCUCAGUAUCUCUUUAAGCCCCUGCUUGUUGCUUAGGAACAAACCCUGUAAUUUAGAAGUCAGAUCAAAUGAUGAUUUUUAUUUUAAAGAACUGUGCGAACGAUUGCAAACUUCUCAUCCCUCACUGUCAGGAUUCGUGACUGGCAGCAGCUACCAAAUGGCAGAGAUUUUCUUGGGGGGAGGGGGUGAAGCAAACUGAUGCUCCAAACUGAAAAUGCUUCCUUCUUCCAGAUUCUGAGUUAGACGCUGUGUAGAUAGAGCUCCUUAGUGGCCUAAGCAGUCAAGGAUCUGGUGUUGUCACCUCAGUGGCUUGUGUCGAUGCCGUGGCGCAGGUUUGAUCUCUGGCCUGGGAACUUCCACAUGCCAUGGGUGUGGCCAGCCCCCCCCCCACCAUAAAACAGAACAAAACCAAUGAGUCUGGCUUUUAAAAAUUCCAUAUAUAAGUGAUAUUUAUAUACUGUAUUUUUCUCCCACUGUUGGACUUAUCUGAGCAUACUGCCCUCAGGUCCAGCCAUGUUAUAACAACUAAUAGAAUUUCCUUCUUUUUUAUGGUUGAAUAAUAUACAUACAUAUAUUAUUUGUAUAUUAAUAAUAAACAUAAAAUUUUAUAUAUAAAUAAAUGUAUAAUUUAUAUCUAAAUAUCAAACAUUUUUUUUUGGUUUCAUUCUCCCCCUUGUUAGUAUAUGAGUCUUGUGUCUAGAGGAACAGGACAGAGGAAAGGAAGGAUAAGAAAAGGAUGGAGAUGGGAGUUCCCCUGCGGCUUAGUGGAAAUGAAUCUGACUCGCAUCCAUGAGGACACAGGUUCGAUCCCUAGUCUCACUCCGUGGGUUAAGGAUCUGGCAUUGCUGUGAGCUGUGGUGUAGGUCACAGACGCAGCUCAGAUCUGGCAUUGCCAUGGCUCUGGUGUAGGCUGGCAGCUACAGCUCCAAUUCAACCUCUAGCCUGAGAACUAAAAAAAAAAAAAAAGAAAAGAAAAG
rnacentral:lncRNA from 1 species